GAUGAACGCUGGCGGCGUGCCUAAUACAUGCAAGUCGAGCGAACGGACGAGAAGCUUGCUUUUCUGAUGUUAGCGGCGGACGGGUGAGUAACACGUGGAUAACCUACCUAUAAGACUGGGAUAACUUCGGGAAACCGGAGCUAAUACCGGAUAAUAUUUUGAACCGCAUGGUUCAAAAGUGAAAGACGGUCUUGCUGUCACUUAUAGAUGGAUCCGCGCUGCAUUAGCUAGUUGGUAAGGUAACGGCUUACCAAGGCAACGAUGCAUAGCCGACCUGAGAGGGGGGUCGGGCCCCCCGGAACUGAGACACGGUCCAGACUCCUACGGGAGGGAGCAGUAGGGAAUCGUCCGCAAAGGGCGGAAGCCUGACGGGACAACGCCGCGGGAGGGGUGAAGGUCUUCGGAUCGUAAAACUCUGUUAUUAGGGAAAGACAAAUGUGUAAGUUACUGUGAACAUCUUGACGGUACCUAAUCAGAAAGCCACGGCUAACUACGUG
rnacentral:rRNA from 1 species